UUUUAUGGAGAGUUUGAUCCUGGCUCAGGAUGAACGCUGGCGGCGUGCCUAAUACAUGCAAGUCGAGCGAACGGACGAGAAGCUUGCUUCUCUGAUGUUAGCGGCGGACGGGUGAGUAACACGUGGAUAACCUACCUAUAAGACUGGGAUAACUUCGGGAAACCGGAGCUAAUACCGGAUAAUAUUUUGAACCGCAUGGUUCAAAAGUGAAAGACGGUCUUGCUGUCACUUAUAGAUGGA
rnacentral:rRNA from 2 species